GGUCUAGUGGUUAGGACUCAGGGCUUUCACCUCUGCGGCCCAGGUUCAAUCCCUGG
rnacentral:tRNA from 1 species